rnacentral:rRNA from 1 species
CGUACGGGGGGCAGCAGUGAGGAAUAUUGGUCAAUGGGCGGAAGCCUGAACCAGCCAAGUAGCGUGCAGGAUGACGGCCCUCCGGGUUGUAAACUGCUUUUAUACGGGAAUAACGAGCCUUACGUGUAGGGCUUUGCAUGUACCGUAUGUAUAAGGACCGGCCCAUUCCGUGCCAGCAGUCGCGGUAAUACGGAGGGUCCGUGCGUUAUCCGGAUUUAUUGGGUUUAAAGGGAGCGUAGGCGGCAUGUCAAGCGUGCUGUGAAAUGUCCGGGCUCAACCCGGGCCUUGCAGCGGUAACUGGCGUGCUUGAGUCCGCGGAAAGCAGGCGGAAUUCGGCGUGUAGCGGUGAAAUGCUUAGAUAUGACGAAGAACCCCGAUUGCGAAGGCAGCUUGCUGCAGCGGAACUGACGCUGAUGCUCGAAAGCGCGGGUAUCGAACAGGAUUAGAUACCCGAGUAGUC